rnacentral:rRNA from 1 species
UACGUAGGGUGCGAGCGUUAAUCGGAAUUACUGGGCGUAAAGCGUGCGCAGGCGGUUUUGUAAGCCAGAUGUGAAAUCCCCGGGCUUAACCUGGGAAUGGCAUUUGUGACUGCAAGGCUGGAGUGCGGCAGAGGGGGAUGGAAUUCCGCGUGUAGCAGUGAAAUGCGUAGAUAUGCGGAGGAACACCGAUGGCGAAGGCAAUCCCCUGGGCCUGCACUGACGCUCAUGCACGAAAGCGUGGGGAGCAAACAGG